UAGAGUUUUUAUAAUUUCAAUUUCUUAUUUGA
rnacentral:piRNA from 1 species